UGGUUUGUCACAUGUUAAUUUGGGUUUUGAAUUCUAAAUCUCUCCUUGUUUAAGUGUUGGCAACAUCACCUUGUUGUUAGGGUUUGCUAGGUUUCUCUUUUGGGUUUUAAAUUCCUUUAUCCUAUCUUUUACAAAUGACAUUUAAAUGGGUUUUGAUUUAAACAUUUACCCCCAUUUGAAUAUUUCCAAAUAAUAGUACCAUAUUUGAAUUCUCCUACUCCUCAGCUUUUCAAAAUGGUGUUUGGAAUUUUGAAUCAAAAAGCAAAGUACAAACAAAACUAUUUACAAAAGAGAAAAACAGAAAAAGGGAAAAAGGAAAAAAAAACUUACCUUCUUACCUUUCGGCCCGAGUCGUCCCAGGCCAACUCGGCCUAGCUUCUCGCGCGCGCAAGCAGCCGCCUCGGCCCACCUCCUCCUGGCGUGCCCAGCGCGGCCCAGCUACCCACGCGUGCGCCCCACGAGUCGGCUCCCAGC
rnacentral:lncRNA from 1 species